CUCUCAGUAUUGGUCAUAAUGAGGUGAUCGGGAUGUGCCGUAUGGGCAGUGAUGCUGAUGGACCGGGAAGGGAGCACUGGACAGCCAUGCUGGCGAAUCCCCGCAAGCCUAUUGAACACUGGCACCAGCUGGUGGAGGAGAAAUCCAUAAACACAUACGUGUCAAAGAGUGUCACAGCCUCCCCUAAGCCACACAUAGUGGUGGACAGCCCUCACUCUGAGUAGAGAUGUCAGCAUUAUCUUUUUAGCAACAGAAAUACAUUCUUUCUUUUCAUCUGUGAAUAAUAAUUUAUCAAGAAAGAACCAGAGAAGAGACUGUGCUUGUGUUAGUGCUAUUCCUCUAAAUCAACCCUGCAGACCCAAUACAAUAUAUAGAAAAAUAACUAGACUAGACCAGACACAAAUCACACACACACACACACACACACACACACGC